AUGUCCCAGCUAGAUGAGUCGUCCGACACAGGUGUUCUGCAGCUCCAGUCGUUGGAGCUUGAUAUCAAGACACUACAGCGCUACCGUGAGGAGGACAAGAAAGAAUUCCAGGAUUUCGAAUCCAUGGUCAACAAGAACUUCGUCACAAUGCAGCAAAAUUUUGACAAGAUUCAGGACAACUUCAAGCGCUUGUUGCUGCUUCCUGAACCAGUAGAGAUCCCUGAUGAGCAGUCGGCACAGGGGAGUGCACAGCCCAAACAACAACAACUUCAUUCUCCAAUCAUUGCGCCGGGCAGGCCUAAACAGCUGCUUGCAAACACACCACCUUCAGUAGCUAUGGUGGAAAAGGAGGCCCCUCCCAUCAUAGGGACUGCAACGUUGAGAGAUAAUGCAGGAAAAGAACUCAACUUGGAUGGUACACCGAAAGUGCCUUAUCGCCAUCCCAAUUUUGCAAGCACCAGAGCUUUGGCACCCCAACAACCACAACAAGUUCCACAUCCACAGCAACAACCAGUUCAAAUGGAAGAGAAGGCACAUGAGGAAGGGCCAGAUGGAGUAGAUAGAGGUAGAAGACCUCACUCCCCAUUUGAAGAUAGAAGGAAUGUGCUCACAGUGAAGCCGGCCAAACUGAACAUUUCUGAAUUCAGUGGCACUGAUCCAGAAUCAUGGAUUCAGAACUUGGAGCAAUACUUUGCAGCUGCUAGAACCCCCUUAGAGCACAGAACUGAGUUAGCAGUUUCUUAUUUGCAAGGCCCUGCUAUACAGUGGUGGAGAGGAACUGGAUUUUCACCCCAUAAUGUGGAGUGUUUUAAACCACCAGAUAUGCAAACAGCAGUAUGGUAUGCCAGGAGAAUGGAAAAAGCUAGUGUCCCUGCCCAACCUAAAACUUAUGUUCCCCAGCCUAAAAGGCAAGUGGUGUUUGACCAAGCAAAGCCACCCCUAGCUGCUCCAACACAAAACAGAAACACAGUCAUCCAGCAGGCAAAACAGAACAAAGUCUUCUACAAAUGCAGAGAACCUUGGGUGCCUGGCCAUCGACAAGUAUGUCGAAUGAGCCAAAAAGCACAAAUACAGGCAUUACAAGUACAGGAAGAAGAAAAUGCAGAAAUCAUUUAUGUUACAGACUUUGAAGAUCCUGAGUUGGACCAAGCUGCACCUCCUCCUGAUAAUGCUGUACUAUAG
rnacentral:rRNA from 1 species